rnacentral:rRNA from 1 species
UACGGAGGGUGCGAGCGUUGUCCGGAAUCACUGGGCGUAAAGGGCGCGUAGGCGGCGCGGGUAGUCAUCGGUGAAAGUUCAGGGCUCAACUCUGAAUCGGCCGGUGAUACUCCCGUGCUCGAGCACUGUAGAGGCAGGUGGAAUUCCGGGUGUAGCGGUGGAAUGCGUAGAGAUCCGGAAGAGCACCGGUGGCGAAGGCGGCCUGCUGGGCAGUAGCUGACGCUGAGGAGCGAAAGCAUGGGGAGCGAACAGG